rnacentral:tRNA from 1 species
GUUUUAAUAGUUUAAAAAAAAUAAUGGUCUUGUAAAUCAUAGAUAAGAAAUACUUUUAAAACU